AACGAACGCUGGCGGCAGGCUUAACACAUGCAAGUCGAACGCCCCUUCGGGGGAGUGGCAGACGGGUGAGUAACGCGUGGGAAUCUACCUAGCUCUACGGAACAACACAGGGAAACUUGUGCUAAUACCGUAUACGUCCUUCGGGAGAAAGAUUUAUCGGAGUUGGAUGAGCCCGCGUUGGAUUAGCUAGUUGGUGGGGUAAAAGCCUACCAAGGCGACGAUCCAUAGCUGGUCUGAGAGGAUGAUCAGCCACAUUGGGACUGAGACACGGCCCAAACUCCUACGGGAGGCAGCAGUGGGGAAUAUUGGACAAUGGGCGCAAGCCUGAUCCAGCCAUGCCGCGUGAGUGAUGAAGGCCCUAGGGUUGUAAAGCUCUUUCAGUGGGGAAGAUAAUGACGGUACCCACAGAAGAAGCCCCGGCUAACUUCGUGCCAGCAGCCGCGGUAAUACGAAGGGGGCUAGCGUUGUUCGGAAUUACUGGGCGUAAAGCGCACGUAGGCGGAUUGUUUAGUGAGGGGUGAAAUCCCAGGGCUCAACCCUGGAACUGCCUCUCAUACUGGCAAUCUCGAGUCCGGAAGAGGUGAGUGGAAUUCCAAGUGUAGAGGUGAAAUUCGUAGAUAUUCGGAGGAACACCAGUGGCGAAGGCGGCUCACUGGUCCGGUACUGACGCUGAGGUGCGAAAGCGU
rnacentral:rRNA from 1 species